UGGAAGAAGUGAAGUGCUGUGAAUACUUUCUGGAUGCACUGUAUCACAUCUGGAUUUGAGGGCCAGAUGUUAGGCAGGGUCAAGUGUGAGAAAGCUGAGGCAAUAAUCAAAGAUUCUGGAGACAUGAUACAGUCAAGAACAUCCUUUUAUUCAAUCAAGUAAAGGUGCUGCUCUUUUCAAACUGUUUUUUUUUUAAUAGUAUUAUUAUGGAAAAGAAACUGUAAUUAACACAUGCAUUUCACCAUGGGCUCUGGGAGGUGCGUGUGAGGGCGGGUUGCUGUUCUGAGGGGAGGACAGGCACUCUUUAGGCGUGUGGUUGGGAUAGAAGGCAGUGGAGAAGCCUUCGGGGGGAGCGAAGGCUGCAGAAACACUGAGGGCUGGACUUCCUCAAACACAUCACACUUUGCUCUGAUAUGGCUUCAGUACGGCGGCCCCUCAUAAUACUGUUGCUGGCUUUAUUUCUUUAAUUUAGAAAAAUUAAAAGUUGCAUAUAUUUGUUUAUUUCCUCUCCAGGAAUUAAAUACAAAAAAUUAGAUAAUCUGCUGGUGGAAUUUACAGGCGCUUUGUCACCUAUAUCUAAAUAACGGGCUGCGCAUCUUUUGGAACCACAUCACUUUGGUCAACACAUUUAUGGUGUAGAUGUUAUGAAGCAAAGUUAGUCAUGAUUGCAUGAAAAAUUUUUAGCCUCCCUGCUCUGGAAACAGUCCGUCAUAAGGUGCGUUGUCAGUUAACCCUUUU